rnacentral:lncRNA from 1 species
GAAAUACUACGAUAAAAAUGCCAUAGCUAUUACAAAUAUUUCCUCCUCUGAUGCUCCUCUUCAGCCUUUGGUAUCCUCUCCUUCUCUGCAAGCUGCUGUUGACAAAAAUAAAUUGGAGAAAGAAAAGGAAAAAAAAAAGGAAGAGAAAAAGAGAGAAAAGGAGCCAGAAAAGCCGGCAAAACCACUUACAGCUGAAAAGCUGCAGAAGAAAGAUCAGCAACUGGAGCCUAAAAAAAGUACCAGCCCUAAAAAAGCUGCGGAGCCCACUGUGGAUCUUUUAGGACUUGUUUGGAGAAAGAUUGAGAAGGAAAAGAGUGAAAGGCAGUUAGUUGAAGUGGAAGAGUUGACCUUCAUGUACUGCUUUCCAAAAAAUUGAUCCUAGUUGUUAUUGAAUAAAUUGUUGUCUGUUUUAAGAAUUA